GAUGAACGCUGGCGGCGUGCCUAAUACAUGCAAGUCGAGCGAACAGACGAGGAGCUUGCUCCUCUGACGUUAGCGGCGGACGGGUGAGUAACACGUGGAUAACCUACCUAUAAGACUGGGAUAACUUCGGGAAACCGGAGCUAAUACCGGAUAAUAUAUUGAACCGCAUGGUUCAAUAGUGAAAGACGGUUUUGCUGUCACUUAUAGAUGGAUCCGCGCCGAAUUAGCUAGUUGGUAAGGUAACGGCGUACCAAGGCAACGAUGCGUAGCCGCCCUGAGAGGGUGAUCGGCCACACUGGAACUGAGACACGGUCCAGACUCCUACGGGAGGCAGCAGUAGGGAAUCUUCCGCAAUGGGCGAAAGCUUGACGGAGCAACGCCGCGUGAGUGAUGAAGGUCUUCGGAUCGUAAAACUCUGUUAUUAGGGAAGAACAAAUGUGUAAGUAACUAUGCACGUCUUGACGGUACCUAAUCAGAAAGCCACGGCUAACUACGUG
rnacentral:rRNA from 1 species